UCCCUGGUGGCUCAGAUGGUAAAGCAUCUGCCUGCAAUGCAGGAGACCCGGGUUCGAUCUCUGGGUUGGGAA
rnacentral:tRNA from 1 species